GCUGUGCACAUAUGACUGUGAUGUGUUGACUUGGAGUCCUUCAGAGUAGUAUAGCUUGGUCAUGUAGUAGCUUUAUUUUCAGGUUUUGUUUUGUUUUGUUUCAUUUCCAUAGGGGUUGCCUAGUUUGCUCUCCUACUAGUGGAGUGAAUAAUGGUUCCUUUCUCCCAUAUCCUCACUGGCAUUUGCCACUUGGUUUCCUGAUGAUAGCCAUUCUGCCUGAGCAACUCCCAAAUUGCCCACAAGAAAGCGACUUGCCGUGUAAAAGGAAAUCACUACAUGGAAUGAUGUAGUUUCAGUGUGUACUCUAGGAAGGAUGAAUCUUCAUUGGUCUGAAAGCCUCCUGUAGCACCUUACACACUGAAUGAAUACAAGAGCAGUCCAUCCCUCAGUUGAAGACUGGGCCAAGAAAAUUUGGCCCUGGUGGGGAUUUAUAUUAACUACUCAUCUUACUGUCUUUGACAGAAUAUCCACAAAAGCAGCUUCAGAGGUAGGGGGUUUUCUAAUGCUGUACAUCAUGGCAGGGAAGGCAGGGUGGCAGUAAUUUGGGGCAGCUGGUCACACUAUGUCCACAGUCAGCAAGUGUUGGGGGAUAAUGCUAGUCCUCAUCUUGUUUUCCUUCUUUAUGUCCAGUUCAGGAACAGCCAGUCUGAAAUGUCCUCAGAGGUGUGCCCAGAGCUAUGUUUCCUAGGUCAUGAUUCCAAAGCCAGUGGAGCAGAGACAACAGUAAGAAAAAACAUCACAGGAUCGAUGAGUAGACUUCUCUCAUCUGAAUAGAGUUCUUGCCUCUGGGACUAGGGAUGGUGCCUAUUGUGGAAACAUAGACAUUUGAAAUUCAAUCAGAAGUCAGCUGAGGAUGCACACACACACACACACACACACACACACACACACACACACACACACACACACACACACACCUAUAUGCAUGCAUACACAUCUGGCCCAAUGUAAACAAAGAGCUCUCUGGGAAGAAUCAGAUGGUGAGAACACUUGGGAGCUGUGUUCCAUCUGUGCAUUUGAGAAAGGUUUGAAUACUACAUUAGGUUGGAGGUUGAGAGCUCAGUGAUCAGCUUCUGAGACUUGCUGAAUGGGAGCUCCCACCUCUUACCACUUAGAGCCUUCUGGUCUAGCCAGGAGAAACCUGGUUAGCUCUCCUAAGAGACAGACCCUUAAAUGGCAGAGUUCUGCUGUCCUCCUUGCUUUUGGUAAUUACUUCCAGCGUGUACAUAUUUCCCACUUGUCUACAAGAUAGGUGCUGAUUUCCAACUCUUUGUCAAAGGGGGCAGAAGUAGCAUCGGGACAUGAAACCUUGUAUGGUGUCUUGGACAAGGCCCCACCUUUCCGGUGAAAAUAAGACACUGGACUGAGUUGGCCUGAGGUCCCAUCUUUUCUGAUGCCCUAUUGAAGCUUCCCUGGAAGCGAAGGGGCAUAUAUAGCUUUAAGAAGACAAGUAGAGGCAUGUGGGUGUAUUUGCAUGUGUAGACAGAGUCAUUGGUGAUCUGCCUUGAUAAAGCUACAGGUGUUCAACUUCCAUUUAUGUCUUUAGAUAAAUUCCCUGCUAAGUCUUAGUUCCUCAUGGAUCGCUGACUGUCUCACUUGGUUUGGGUGUAAACCAAAGGACAUGAUUUUUAGCCUGUGCUGAAAUUUGUGCCUACACCAAAAGAAGUAAUCGAUACAUGUUAGUCAUUGUCAUUCGUCCUCUAUGGUACACCUCAAAGAGAUUUACCAAACUCCUUCACAAGAAGACCCUGAACAGUGAAGCUCCAUGGGCUGUUGAAGAAAUGACGCUAAUUACCUCAUUUAAAUUUCAUCAAAGCUAUACAGAGUUAAAAUACUGUGAUCCUCUUCCAUUUUAAAGAUAAAGAAACUGGUCAAAUUGAAGACAAAUACUCAAUGACCAGCUCUCCAGGAAAGAAAAAAAAAAGUCUAGGUUGUGCUAUGUUCUGUGGUAUAUAUGGCCACAGUAGUUCAGCACAAGCUGCUGAUACGGUGUUCCCGUUCCCAGAUGGUAUGCUGAGAAGAGCUGGGCUCAGUAGUCUCUCUGGACACACACAGUCCCAACAGACUGAGCAUAGUGGGAAAUAAAUCACCAACUCUGAGCAACCCCCUGCACUUCUAGACAGUAUGCCCCUGACUAGGCCCCCAGCUCUCAGCUCCACUCUAUAAUGCAAAAAGUGCUUCACAUAAAAAACACCAAACUCAGAGACUGGGAACAUGGCUCAGCAGUGAAGAAUAUGUACACCAUACUGCUCUUGCAAAGGGUGAGAGUUCAGUUCUGACCACCCUCUUCAGGAAGUCCACAACCACCUGUAACUCCAGCCAUAGGGGAUCCAGUGCCUUUCGCAGGCCUCCUGGGGCACCAAACUCAUGCAUGAACUCACUCACAGACAGCUAGUAUGUGUAACUAAAGCACAUGAAUAAAAGCUAAGAACAACAAAACAAGCCCCCAAACUCAGCAGCUAAGUUCCAGUGUCAAAGCUUGACCAGAAGUCUGCAUGGAGUUUUAACUCUGUAUCCAUGCUGGUUUUGUCAGGAGAAGAACAAUUGCUUUAUUUCCAAGACUUGCAAUCUACUCUGUGCUGCAGCUAACAGAGUAAUUCAUCUGCAAACUACAAUAAUCAUAAUGUUACAAAUCAGACAUCCUUCAUUUGUAAAUUUAAUCAGGUCUUCAACAAUGUGUAGCUUUCCUGGUUAGUUAGCGAACUUUAAAAUGUUCCAAUUGCUACGUGCUGAAAAUAUAUACUCUGUAUUAUCUUUUAUUGAGUGUUUUGUGCAAAUCAGGCUUCUCAGUUGACACUGUUAAUUCACUGCCGGGAGCUUAUUAAUAGCAUACACCCAGAAGAGUCUAAAUCUCACUGGGCAGUUCCAACACAUGGUAGAGCCAGAUAUACAGAGCCCUUUCUUCCUGUUCUUAAUUUAGAAUAUUCAUUGACUUGGCAUUUUAAAAUGUACUGGAGGACAAACAAAUAAAAAGGUGCUCAAUUUUCUACUUCUCUUUGGUGGCUAAAAUACCAUUUUGUGCACCAUAAAGCAACUAUUAGACUUUAUUCCUAGAUAACACAAGUGUAUCAAGCAAGCUGUUCAAACAGAAGAAUCCACCCCAAAACCAAGGGUUUUUCUGCCUCUAAGAAGCUGUCUGAUGCAAUGCUGGCCAGGGCUGGGGGCUGCUGGUACUCCCUAAGCAAUCUGUUAUCAGGAAGGUCAAAGCCAAGGCACAGGAAGCCUGCGGUGCCCUAGCUGGCCAUCCUCAGCCCUGCAAGUGUAAGUAAACAAAAGACAAAUUGAGACAGAAGUAAAUAAGUACAAAACAACUUGUACCUUCUAUUUUCUGUGUUACAUUAACUCCCUUGCAACCUUGGGCAGAGUAGCACUAACAUGCUAACACUGUUUCCUUGAACUCAAGACCCAGCGACAGACACACUUGUGUAUACAUUAACGACUCUAGUUAAAUGGCAGGCUUUCCCCAAAAGGGCCAUGGUUGACCUAAAGAAGAAUUUGCCUAAACAUGGGUUUGAAAGGACUGUCCCAGCAGACAGGUUUUAAUAGAAGGAUGUCUCUGCCAUGAUUGAAAUAACACCACAAGCACAAGCCACCAGAAACAUCAACUUCAAUUCUCAUCCCCUCUUUACCUUGGCCCUCACCUCCAUGUAACACUAAAACAGCAAUUCUCCAUAGUACUGUUGUCCACUCUGCCCCCUCUUCAUUUUUAUACUAAAGUAGGCUAUCUCUGACUGGGUCCCUGACUCAGUUUGCUUCUUAGUCACUGUCUCUUAAUGUCAGAAACUCUAUCAUCAACAAGCUUGUCUUGUGCGCACAGGGCCAAGAACAGGAUACAUUAGUGGCAAUCACUGAGUAUUUGUCAGAGUCUAUUUUUUUGAAGGCAAAUUGGAAGAGGGUGUUUCAAGGUUCAGAGUCAUUCCAGAACCUGGCUGUAUGGAGAUAUCUCUGUUCUUCUGCAUCAUUGGUGGUUUCUCUGUGGCUGGAAAUGAGCUCUGGUCUUCCUGAGGCUGAGUGAUCUGACAGAAGCAAGCUCCCAGCAACAGAAAUGAAGCGAGGACAGGUUUCAAGCCCGUGUUUAUUGCGCAUUGCCAUUACCCAAGAGGAGUGACAAAGAAGUGUAGGGAGACACCGUAACCACGACUCUUAAGGGUGUGUACUGACUUCAAUCAAGUUGAGGAUUUCAACCUAGAUCUUCAAUCAAGGAAAUCCCAUCUAACAUGGACUGGA